rnacentral:misc_RNA from 1 species
ACUUGUCCACAGCUAUUGAGAUCAAAAUAAAACCAAAAACAAAAGAGCAAGAUUGUGAGUAGUUUACAAGCAAAAGGUUCUACUCCAGCCUCCAGGUCCCUAUGUAGAAUCGAACUACAGACCUUCAGUUUUAACUCUACCAUUGAGCUAUAGGGACUUCUGUGUCCCAUGUUCCUGUGUUAUUUUAUUUUCCUUUGAUUAAUGAGACCAUUAGAGAAGCAACAGGUUCCUGCAAGUGAAAG